UCCGCCUCCACUUUGGAGGCAGGAUCGAGGCGAAAUCUGUAAGGUCUUUCCGGUGCCACAAGUGUCGCCAUCUUGGUUCUUGAUGGUGAAAUCCCUUCCUUGAGACUACAGCAUCAGCAUCCCUUUGUUUGAAAUGCAGAAUCUCAGGCUCCACCCCAGAAGUCAGAAUCUACAUUCUGAAGAGAUCCCUUUUAAAGUUUGAGAAACACUGCCCUAGAAGACUGAUUUCACAGACAACACAACCUGAGGAGACAAGUAUCAAGUCCAAUAGGAUUUUGCAUCAAACCAAAGAGGGGUCCUAGGAACUAAAUGGAGAGACAAGUCUACCUAGCUCCACUCUCAAAAGGCUGGAAACCCUUCUGGGGACAAUAUGAAGUAUACCAAAGCCUCGGGGUCUCCUCC